AACCACCCUUUAGUGAGAAAAUGCCUCCUGCAGGAGCCCAGAAGGAAGAAAUGGGUUUGAAAAACGAGCCGGAGAGAUCCAGGAGCUUUCAAUAAAGGUCAAGUUCCCCGACCCCUCGGCCUAUACAAUAUCAUUUCCUUACCAAUGUGCAAGAUUGGGGGAAAUGGCGACUUCUCUUUUAACCCAAAGGGCAGCAAAUCCACUGCCCAUCCCCAUGAAUGAGUAGGGAAGAGGCGAACCUCUGCAGUGCAGUCCAGGGCUCUCGGUAUUGAAUUGCAGCGUUCCCGGAGUGGAGAGAGUCCAGGCAAGGAGCUGGAUACAGGAGGCUGGGAGCUGGACGCAGCGGGCGGCAGCAGUACCCGGGCGCUGCCCAGAUGGUGCCCCUUGAAGGGAGGUUUACUCCAACCAUUGCAAACUAGCACCAUUCUUCUAAACAAGCAACCCAUAGAAAAUGAUUGACAGAGAUAAUCAAGUAACAGCUGAAGAAUAAGUUGAAAAGAAGUACAUUUGAAGAAAGAGUGGCGGAGAAAUUUAUUUAAGGAUUAGAAAAAGGCAUCUUAAGAGAGACAUGGUAAUAUGUUGGAAAGAACAUUGGGGAGAACUUCUGACAAAAUGGCUGAUUUAAGAACUUUAUAUAAAUCCAGGUCCCUCUCAUUGCCUCAAAAUGUGCCAAAUAAAAGAAUAAUAACAAUUAAAAGAGAAGAAAGUAAGGACUUUCUCAAAAAGAAAUUGGGAUUUUAUAAGUUUCUUGCCCAAAUAAGCCCAAUAAAGGUAAGAUUAAAAAGGAAACUGUUGACUAGGAAAAAUCUUUGCUGAAAAUUCUUUGGGUAAAUGUCUCAUUUUCAAGAUACAUAAGAAACUGAUUCAAAUUUAAAAGCUAUUCUCCAACUGAUAAAUGUUCAAAGGACAUAAAUAAGCUAUUUUCAAAGAAAGAAACCUAGAUUAUCUAUAACCACAAAAAAUUCUUCAAAUCACUACUAAUUAGAGAAACAUAAAUUAAAGCAAUUGUGAGAUUCUACUUUACACUUACCAGAUUAGCUAAGUUUAUUAAAAAAAAAAAAAAAAAGGAAAAUAGAAACACUGUUGCACUGUUAUUGGACCUUUGACUAGAUAUAGCCAUUUAAGAAAGCUAUUUGGAAUUAUACUCAAAAAGUUCUCAAACAAGAAUAUUCUUUGACCUAGUUGUACCAUUGCUAAACCUGUAUUCAAAGGAGAUAAAAGAAAGAGGAUUCUAGAUGUUAUAUGUAUACACACAUAUAAAUGCA